ensembl:lncRNA
AAUGCAUAUGAAACUGAUCAAGUAAUCAGCCAGCAUUAAAUGGUUCAGGACUCAGAUCCAUAGAACAGAACUGUGAGUUUGACUGCCUAACUGUAUAUACUGCCACCUUGGUGUCCAGCCAGAUGUCACAUCAGCUGCAACAGUGCUACAGAGGGAGCAGAAUGUCCAUCUGUCAGCACUGUGCCACCUGCAAUAAUUACCGGUGGAUUGGAGUUUGACUUGUUCACUGCUUGUAGCAUGACUUCUGUCUCCUGUUUACAGUCAGCCUAAACAGGGAGGCUUCAGUUCUGAGUGUGGGCCGUCAAUGCAUCUGUCAUCUGCAUACAAGAGGUCAUGCAGAAUUGCGGAGUGUGUCUUUGUGUGAGCCUAGAGUCUGCAUGGACUGAAGACUCUGCCAUCUGUACAGAACUGAAUUGGAAUGCCUACUACAUAUCAUAUUCCUUGAAAGCCGCAGACAGCAUCAUCCAAAAGAUUGCAGACGUUUUCUAUCCCCAGGAGCAGGGUUGAAGAUCUAGGCCUUAUGGCCAUUAUCCUGAAAAAGUCCACUUUCAAUUUGCUGUUUGUAUUAUUUAAAUUUGUGACAUUUCCGUUUGGGCUGUAUGGGGCUCCCGUUUCAUUCCAUCCAUCAAUGGGACAAGGAGUAAAGACAUUUUUUAAAUAAAUUUUUAAACUGCAUUCCUCCACUCCUCUUAAACCUGUUACUUUGCAUGAUGCCACAGCUGACCACACUAUCUAGUAAAUUAAAGUUGCAGGUCCCAGCACUCUGCUAGUGAAAGCUGAUAUUACUAGAGAUUUUAAAAUCACUGUAUCAUAUCAUCAUGUUAGCCCAUUUUUGGGAUUAAAUAGCAAAAUUUUUAUUUGCAUUUGUACUCACAUUCAGAUGCACAAACAUAUGCAGCACAUAUCUUCCUGAGAUUCUGCUUAAUUUUCAUUUGUCAAACUUCCAUUUGUCACACAGGCUACUGUUGCACAGAUCAAACUUAGCUCCCCUGUCACUGAGUCUGUCAGCACCAGUUGUUACAAUGUUUCAGUGUCACUGUGCUUGGUGGCAUGGAUAGUUGAUUGCAUUGGCUUGAACUAAUGUUUCUGUGAUAUUGUAUUAAUUUACACAUGCAGACAGUUGGCACAGGCUUCAACUUAUUACAUUGCCUGUCUGCAAGGGCAAACAGCUUUUUCAUACAGGCAGGUGUAGCUCUGCUUUUAGUAGCCAAAAUGUUCUAUUGUUGGUUUCUCUUUGUCACUCCCUUUUUGACUAA